rnacentral:rRNA from 1 species
CCUACGGGAGGCAGCAGUGAGGAAUAUUGGUCAAUGGGCGGAAGCCUGAACCAGCCAAGUAGCGUGCAGGAUGACGGCCCUCCGGGUUGUAAACUGCUUUGAAGGGGAGUAAAGUGACUGACUU